CAAUAGCGUAUAUUAAAGUUGUUGCAGUUAAAAGCUCGUAGUUGGAUCUCAGGUCCCGGCUCGCGGUUCACUUCGCGGUGCUUACUGCCCGUCCGGACCUACCCGCCGGUUUCCCUUGGUGCUCUUCAUUGAGUGUCUCGGGUGGCCGGAACGUUUACUUUGAAAAAUUAGAGUGUUCAAAGCAGGCGCUUCGCCUGAAUAAUGGUGCAUGGAAUAAUGGAAUAGGAAGUCGUUUCUAUUUUGUUGGUUUUCGGAAAUCGACUUAAUGAUUAAUAGGGACAGUCGGGGGCAGUUUGUUAUUCAAACAGACAGAGGUGAAAUUCUUGGAACCGUUUGAACGAUCAAACAU
rnacentral:rRNA from 1 species